rnacentral:rRNA from 1 species
GACGAACGCUGGCGGCGUGCCUAAUACAUGCAAGUUGAGCGCUGAAGGUUGGUACUUGUACCAACUGGAUGAGCAGCGAACGGGUGAGUAACGCGUGGGGAAUCUGCCUUUGAGCGGGGGACAACAUUUGGAAACGAAUGCUAAUACCGCAUAAAAACUUUAAACACAAGUUUUAAGUUUGAAAGAUGCAAUUGCAUCACUCAAAGAUGAUCCCGCGUUGUAUUAGCUAGUUGGUGAGGUAAAGGCUCACCAAGGCGAUGAUACAUAGCCGACCUGAGAGGGUGGUCGGCCACAUUGGGACUGAGACACGGCCCAAGCUCCUACGGGAGGCAGCAGUAGGGAAUCUUCGGCAAUGGGCGAAAGUCUGACCGAGCAACGCCGCGGGAGUGAAGAAGGUUUUCGGAUCGUAAAACUCUGUUGGUAGAGAAGAACGUGGGUGAGAGUGGAAAGCUCAUCAAGUGACGGUAACUACCCAGAAAGGGACGGCUAACUACGUG